GCUUCUCUGAUGUUAGCGGCGGACGGGUGAGUAACACGUGGGUAACCUACCUAUAAGACUGGGAUAACUCCGGGAAACCGGGGCUAAUACCGGAUAAUAUUUUGAACCGCAUGGUUCAAUAGUGAAAGACGGUUUCGGCUGUCACUUAUAGAUGGACCCGCGCCGUAUUAGCUAGUUGGUAAGGUAAUGGCUUACCAAGGCGACGAUACGUAGCCGACCUGAGAGGGUGAUCGGCCACACUGGAACUGAGACACGGUCCAGACUCCUACGGGAGGCAGCAGUAGGGAAUCUUCCGCAAUGGGCGAAAGCCUGACGGAGCAACGCCGCGUGAGUGAUGAAGGUCUUCGGAUCGUAAAACUCUGUUGUUAGGGAAGAACAAAUUUGUUAGUAACUGAACAAGUCUUGACGGUACCUAACCAGAAAGCCACGGCUAACUACGUGCCAGCAGCCGCGGUAAUACGUAGGUGGCAAGCGUUAUCCGGAAUUAUUGGGCGUAAAGCGCGCGUAGGCGGUUUCUUAAGUCUGAUGUGAAAGCCCACGGCUCAACCGUGGAGGGUCAUUGGAAACUGGGAAACUUGAGUGCAGAAGAGGAGAGUGGAAUUCCAUGUGUAGCGGUGAAAUGCGCAGAGAUAUGGAGGAACACCAGUGGC
rnacentral:rRNA from 1 species